UGCGCGUGCUUAACAUGCAGUCGAACGAUGAUCCCAGCUUGCUGGGGGAUUAGUGGCGAACGGGUGAGUAACACGUGAGUAACCUGCCCUUGACUCUGGGAUAAGCCUGGGAAACUGGGUCUAAUACCGGAUACGACCAUCUGGCGCAUGUCAUGGUGGUGGAAAGCUUUUGUGGUUUUGGAUGGACUCGCGGCCUAUCAGCUUGUUGGUGGGGUAAUGGCCUACCAAGGCGACGACGGGUAGCCGGCCUGAGAGGGUGACCGGCCACACUGGGACUGAGACACGGCCCAGACUCCUACGGGAGGCAGCAGUGGGGAAUAUUGCACAAUGGGCGCAAGCCUGAUGCAGCGACGCCGCGUGAGGGAUGACGGCCUUCGGGUUGUAAACCUCUUUCAGUAGGGAAGAAGCGAAAGUGACGGUACCUGCAGAAGAAGCGCCGGCUAACUACGUGCCAGCAGCCGCGGUAAUACGUAGGGCGCAAGCGUUAUCCGGAAUUAUUGGGCGUAAAGAGCUCGUAGGCGGUUUGUCGCGUCUGCUGUGAAAGACCGGGGCUCAACUCCGGUUCUGCAGUGGGUACGGGCAGACUAGAGUGCAGUAGGGGAGACUGGAAUUCCUGGUGUAGCGGUGAAAUGCGCAGAUAUCAGGAGGAACACCGAUGGCGAAGGCAGGUCUCUGGGCUGUAACUGACGCU
rnacentral:rRNA from 1 species